UUAAAAUGUUAAAUUUGGAACUAAAGAAGUAGUAGUUAUGAUCUUUAAAUUUAAAGAUUUUGGCGGUAUUUUAGUCUAUUCAGAGGAACCUGUUCUAUAAUUGAUAGUCCACGAUUAACUUUACUUAAUUUUAAAAGCUUGUAUAUCGUUGUUAUAGAAAAUUUUUUAAGAAAUUUAAUUUUUAAUAAAUUUUAUUAAAUUAUAUAUCAAAUCAAGGUGCAGUUUAUARUUAAGAAAGAAAUGGGUUACAAUAAAUUUAUUUAAAUGRAUAUAAAUUUUAACAUAUUUAUUGAAGGUGGAUUUGAUAGUAAAAUUAUUAAUUUUAAUGAUUUGAUUUUAGCUCUAAAAUAUGU
rnacentral:rRNA from 1 species